AUGUCAGCGCUUGCGAUUCUCCAGUUUGUUAUGGCUGUAGAUUGCUAUCCAAAUGUCUCUGUUGCCUAUCGGAUCCUCUUAACAGUGCAUGUGAUUGUAGCCUCAGCUGAAAGAAGUUUCUCUAAACUGAAACUACUCAAAAAUUAUUUGAGAUCAACUAUGUUGCAAAAUAGAUUGAAUGGCCUGGCUAUGUGCUGUAUUAAGUACUCUACUUCUUCGCGCACCUGGGCUCCGUUUCCGCCCUCGACCACUACUGGCGUCGGCUCCGGCGACUUGGUUAGCGUGCGCGCGAGCGCUCUGCUCAUGGCCACCCGCGGCCAGGCAUGGUAG
rnacentral:rRNA from 1 species